rnacentral:rRNA from 1 species
UACGUAGGGUGCAAGCGUUAAUCGGAAUUACUGGGCGUAAAGCGUGCGCAGGCGGUUUUGUAAGUCUGUCGUGAAAGCCCUGGGCUUAACCUGGGAAUUGCGAUGGAGACUGCAAGGCUUGAAUCUGGCAGAGGGGGGUAGAAUUCCACGUGUAGCAGUGAAAUGCGUAGAGAUGUGGAGGAACACCGAUGGCGAAGGCAGCCCCCUGGGUCAAGAUUGACGCUCAUGCACGAAAGCGUGGGGAGCAAACAGG